rnacentral:rRNA from 1 species
UACGUAGGGGGCAAGCGUUGUCCGGAAUCAUUGGGCGUAAAGCGCGUGUAGGCGGCCUUGUAAGUCCGUUCUGAAAGCCCGGGGCUCAACCCCGGGAGGCGGAUGGAUACUGCAAGGCUCGAGUACGGAAGAGGCGAGUGGAAUUCCCGGUGUAGCGGUGAAAUGCGCAGAUAUCGGGAGGAACACCAAUGGCGAAGGCAGCUCGCUGGGCCAUAACUGACGCUGAGAAGCGAAAGCAUGGGGAGCGAACAGG